UGCCGUUUCACAAAUGCAGGCCGGGGUU
rnacentral:sRNA from 1 species